rnacentral:ncRNA from 1 species
GUUCAAACGAGGAAAAGGCUUACGGUGGAUACCUAGGCACCCAGAGACGAGGAAGGGCGUAGUAAGCGACGAAAUGCUUCGGGGAGUUGAAAAUAAGCGUAGAUCCGGAGAUUCCCGAAUAGGUCAACCUUUCGAACUGCUGCUGAAUCCAUGGGCAGGCAAGAGACAACCUGGCGAACUGGAAACAUCUUAAGUAGCCGGAGGAAAAAGAAAGCAAAAAGGCGAAUUCCCCGUAGAUAGCGGCGAGCGAAAUGGGAGCAGACCU